UACGUAGGGGGCAAGCGUUAUCCGGAUUUACUGGGUGUAAAGGGAGCGUAGACGGUAGGGUAAGUCAGAUGUGAAAGCCCGGGGCUCAACCCCGGGAUUGCAUUUGAAACUAUCCGACUAGAGUGCAGGAGAGGUAAGUGGAAUUCCUAGUGUAGCGGUGAAAUGCGUAGAUAUUAGGAGGAACACCAGUGGCGAAGGCGGCUUACUGGACUGUAACUGACGUUGAGGCUCGAAAGCGUGGGGAGCAAACAGG
rnacentral:rRNA from 2 species